UAAAUUGAGAGUUUGAUCCUGGCUCAGGAUGAACGCUGGCGGCGUGCUUAACACAUGCAAGUCGAGCGAUGAAGUUUCCUUCGGGAAACGGAUUAGCGGCGGACGGGUGAGUAACACGUGGGUAACCUGCCUCAUAGAGUGGAAUAGCCUUCCGAAAGGAAGAUUAAUACCGCAUAACGUUGAAAGAUGGCAUCAUCACUCA
rnacentral:rRNA from 1 species